CUUGCACUUCUGACGUUAGCGGCGGACGGGUGAGUAACACGUAAGGAACCUACCGAUAAGCGGGGGACAACAUCCGGAAACGGGUGCUAAUACCGCAUAGGAAAGGUCACCGCAUGGUGACCUUUGGAAAGACGGCUUUGCUGUCACUUAUCGAUGGCCUUGCGGUGCAUUAGCUCGUUGGUGGGGUAACGGCCUACCAAGGCAAUGAUGCAUAGCCG
rnacentral:rRNA from 1 species